ACGUUUUACAACAGACGGCGAUUUUAGUGACAGUUGUCACUAUCGCACUUGUUUCCAGGUUAUAUGUCUCGUCGAACUGCAUUAUCUUACGCUAAAGUCAAGAUUUCCAAAAUGUAAUAAAGCCAGAAGCCACAUUUUGGAGGAAAGCAUACCAAGUGUGUUUAUUGAUCUCUGCUUACUUUAUUUUAUCAAUAGGCCUUACAUUUUAUAAUCCAUGGCUGUAUAAUACGUAUGGAUUUAAUUUUUCACUUGGAGUAGUAGUUUGCCAUUUGACUAUAAAGUUUAUACUAUCCGCAUUAAUACG